rfam:Camelus ferus unplaced genomic scaffold scaffold668, whole genome shotgun sequence.
CCGAGCACAUGGGCCCGUGGGCCGGGCGGACUCGGGGCGGCCCGGACCCGGAGCAACAGCGAGGCGCCGCGAGCGAGGAUGGGCCCCGGCACCCCCCCGGGGCUCCCCGAGUGGACUUCCACGCGGAAAGGAUGUUGGCGGCCCCGGUGACCUGCGGAGACACGGCUGGAUCCACCUUCCA